CCUACGGGAGGCAGCAGUAGGGAAUUUUCGUCAAUGGGCGCAAGCCUGAACGAGCAAUGCCGCGUGAACGAGGAAGGUCUUCGGAUCGUAAAGUUCUGUUGAAGGGGAAAAAGAGCGGAGAGAGGAAAUGCUUUCUGAUUGAUAUUACCCUUCGGGGAAGUCACGGCUAACUACGUGCCAGCAGCCGCGGUAAUACGUAGGUGGCGAGGGUUAUACGGAAUGAUUGGGCGAAAGGGUUGCGUAGGGGGCCUGCUAGGUCUGGAGUAAAAGGUAACGGCUAAACUGGUACAGGCCCUGGAAACUGGCGGGCGAGAGAGCAGGAGAGGGAGGUGGAACUCAAUGUGUAGCGGUAAAAUGCGUAGAUAUA
rnacentral:rRNA from 1 species